CCAAUAGCGUAUAUUAAAGUUGCUGCAGUUAAAAAGCUCGUAGUUGAAUUUCGGGAUCAAUAUGUUGGUCGUGCCUCGGUACGUACUAGCUUAUUGGUUUCUUCCUUCUGACGAACCAUAAUGUCAUUUAUUUGGUGUUAUGGGGAAUCAGGACUGUUACUUUGAAAAAAUUAGAGUGUUUAAAGCAGGCUCACGCUUGAAUACAUUAGCAUGGAAUAAU
rnacentral:rRNA from 1 species